AAGGAAGAGUGGCCCGGGGACAGACCUCCGAGACACCCUUAGAGGCUUUCCAGCUGGAGCUGAAGGGGCGCUGGAGCGCAAACUCUGGAAUUUGCUGAAUCCCCUGUGCAUCCCUUGCCAAGAUCUGGCCCAAGGCCUGCCAUGCUGACGUCUGUAUACACCUCCUGGCUGGCUAAACACAGGCCUGUUGAGCACCUGAUGCAGUUCACAGUCAAGAAUGGAAUGGUUUACUCAGGCCAAAUCAGCCACAACUCCAGAGAUACAGCGUGCCCAGCCCCACCCACAGGAUGUCAGAGAAAGCAAACUGGCCUUGGGGACAUGCCAAUGGGGUGAUGGAAACCUAGGCCUCCUAACCCUCUUUGGACCAGCUACUUUGUUCAGGAAGCUCGAGCCGGUGUGGAGAGGAAUAAUUUGGUCAAAGUUACUGCAUUUCACUUCCUGAUUUGGUAAAGCCUGCCAUCACCUAUAUGAAGACACACCCAUGGCCCCUGCAAAAAAGCAUUCAGAGACAGCGAGACCCACACCUGGAAGGCUGGUGACACAAGAAUAAAGGGCUUCAUCGCUACUCACCGGAGGCGUUUUCUCUA